rnacentral:snRNA from 1 species
AAACUUACCUGGCUGGGGGCUAUUUCGCGAUCAUGAAGGCGGAAUCCCCAUGGUGAGAAUCCCCAUGACGUCCAUUGCACUUUCGGAUGGGCUGACCUGUGUGGCAGUCUCGAGUUGAGAUUCGCCAACAGCUUAAUUUUUGCGUAACGGGGCUGCGUUCGCGCGGCCCUGG